GACGAACGCUGGCGGCGUGCUUAACACAUGCAAGUCGAACGGAAAGGCCUUUUCGGAGGUACUCGAGUGGCGAACGGGUGAGUAACACGUGGGUGAUCUGCCCUGCACUCUGGGAUAAGCCUGGGAAACUGGGUCUAAUACCGGAUAGGACCGCACUUUAGUGUGUGUGGUGGAAAGUUUUUUCGGUGUAGGAUGAGCCCGCGGCCUAUCAGCUUGUUGGUGGGGUAAUGGCCUACCAAGGCGGCGACGGGUAGCCGGACUGAGAGGUUGGUCGGCCACAUUGGGACUGAGAUACGGCCCAGACUCCUACGGGAGGCAGCAGUGGGGAAUAUUGCACAAUGGGCGCAAGCCUGAUGCAGCGACGCCGCGUGGGGGAUGACGGCCUUCGGGUUGUAAACUCCUUUCGCCAGGGACGAAGCGUUUUGUGACGGUACCUGGAGAAGAAGCACCGGCUAACCACGUG
rnacentral:rRNA from 1 species